GGGUCAGUAGGUUGGUCGUGCCACCGGUACGUACUGGUCUCACCGAUUCCUCCUUCCUGAAGAACCGUAAUGCCAUUAAUUUGGUGUUGCGGGGAAACAGGACUGUUACUUUGAAAAAAUUAGAGUGUUUAAAGCAAGCUAACGCUUGAAUACAUUAGCAUGGAAUAAUGAAAUAGGACGAUCGACCCUAUUUUGUUGGUUUCUAGGAUUGACGUA
rnacentral:rRNA from 1 species